UGAGUAACCUGCCCUUCACUCUGGGAUAACUCCGGGAAACCGGGGCUAAUACUGGAUAUGACUCGAACAGGCAUCUGUUUCGGGUGGAAAGAUUUAUUGGUGGAGGAUGGACUCGCGGCCUAUCAGCUUGUUGGUGAGGUAAUGGCUCACCAAGGCGACGACGGGUAGCCGGCCUGAGAGGGCGAUCGGCCACACGUGGGACUGAGACACGGCCAGACUCCGUACGGGAGCA
rnacentral:rRNA from 1 species